GUGAUUUUUCUUCUCUUCAGCCAAAUGAAUUGAGCUCACAAAACUGAGAGAGUGAGAGAUUAUGGCGAUGCCUUUGGAAAUGGCGAUGCUUUUGACGAAAACGGUUUGGUUUGCUCUGAGCGGCUGGAUUUUAACAUGUUUGUCCAUCGCCGACGAGAUUGCUGGUUCACUCAGAAACCGAGAAGUUGGUCCUCCUUUACAUCUCGCAUGAUCACAUUUACAUUCUUCACCUCUUUCCUAGCUCCUACUCGAUUUUCAGCUUUUUUUUUUCCGGUGUGAAUCGUCCCAAAAGAUUGAAGAGUUUGGGUUUAUAGAGGAGAUAAAUAUAUAGUUAUUAAAAGGCAAAGUACCAAAGGAAUCUUCAAUGAGUGUUCCUUGUGCGAUUCAGCUUCAUGUUUAUUCUCAUAUAACAGAAAGUAUCAGUGCACAGCACAAUUUCUCUAACAGUAAACUUAUAUCCAACUUUUACUUUGUAUGUGUCGUCGGGAUUUGAAUGUGUGGUAUGAUAUUUUAUUUUAGUCUUCUAUAACAAUUAAGUUUCUAUAAGGUUGGAUAUUAAUUUGCUCUGUUUUUAUUACCCUAGAAAAAUUAUAUUAGUGGGAGU